GUCUGAAGACACUGCACGGCGCCCCCCUUCUGUUAAAGCUUCACUUUCAGUUUCCUUUGGACAACGAGCCCCACAUCGUGCCUCAACUAGGGACUCAUCUCCUGUUCGUCGUACACUGCCACCAUCCGUUAAUGAUAGAGAUAUCAGUGAUGAUCUACGAAGAUCCCCAAGCAGUCGCCGUAGUCAAAGCCGUGAACAUCCAGAUAGUAGAGAGAGGAGCAGGGAUAGAGAUUAUGAUAGGGAGAGGAGCAGGGAUAGAGAUCACGACAGGGAGAGGGACAGAGGAAGGGAUAGGGACCGAGAUCGAGAACAUGAUUGGGACAGGGAGAAGUACAGAGAUCGGGAGAGGGACCGAGAUAGAGAAAGAGAGAGAGCUAGGGAUAGGGAAAGGGACAGGGACAGAGAACGAAGUUAUGAUUAUGAUCGAAGGACUCAUUAUACCGAUAGAGAGAGUAGAAGGGACUUUGAAAGGAGUAGCCGUGAUGGUGGCUCCAGGCAUUAUCGAAGGAGUCGUAGCCGAAGUAGGAGCCGGAGCAGAAGUCGAAGUCUACAAACAGGGAAUGCCCAUCACGAGCGAGAGCCAAGUCCUGCAAGGGGCGGAACUACAGAGAAGACGUCCAUCAUAUCGAGCAAUCUGGCGAAACUAAAAGAUAUCUAUGGCGAUGUGAGCGAGCAGAAAGGGGAUUCGAGCAGAGAAAGAGUUAAUAGAAGAGAUAGUAGUGGCGAAGAAGUGAUUAGACUGGGUGGAUCCUGGAAAUAGGUGAAAUGAUGAUGCUCUAUCUAGUACAAGAACUCCACUGUAUUCAAUACACACCAUAUUAUCUUUCACUUAGAAAACAGAUUUUAGUCUCUAUUGGAAAAGGGAAGAAAAAUCAAUGUAUUUGCCACUUUGAGUUUAUAGAAUUCAUCAUCUUCAUCAUCUCUCCCAAUCAAUCUAUUUUAUCAGUUGAAUGCCCA
rnacentral:misc_RNA from 1 species